rnacentral:rRNA from 1 species
AGGACGAACGCUGGCGGCGUGCUUAACACAUGCAAGUCGAGCGGAAAGGCCCUUCGGGGUACUCGAGCGGCGAACGGGUGAGUAACACGUGAGUAAUCUGCCCCUAGCUCUGGGAUAGGCUCCGGGAAACCGGGGAUUAAUACUGGAUACGACCACCUUAGACCAUCUUUUGUGGUGGGAAAGAAUUUCGGCUAGGGAUGAGCUCGCGGCCUAUCAGCUUGUUGGUGGGGUAACGGCCUACCAAGGCGACGACGGGUA